UGUGCAAAACUGAAGUAGUUUUCUCCUUAGUCCUGACCAUGGCAGUCAUCAAGAGCAAUCGUACGGAUGCCAUGGGUUGUUCAAUCUGCGUUCUUAUUAUGAUCAUGUCUUCCACUUUGAUCUUACCAACCUCUUGCUAUGAACUUGAUCGUCACGAGAAGUGCAUGCCUACUCAAGUCUGCCAUUGGAAUGUCUGCAAGAUCAUGUGCAGAUACACCGGCAAUCCUUGGAUUGGGGCCUACUGCAAGAUGAAACCAGGCGAUGUGAAACUGUGUUGUUGUGUUUAUUCCUGAAUCUCUAGCGAUGCUAGUUGUUGUUUGGGGCAUUAAUAUUGCCGUUUCCUAUAUCCACCCGCUUGGGAUGCAUUCUCAAUAAAAUAGUUUUUUAGCGACUCAA